rnacentral:rRNA from 1 species
AUUGAACGCUGGCGGCAUGCCUUACACAUGCAAGUCGAACGGUAACAGGUCUUCGGAUGCUGACGAGUGGCGAACGGGUGAGUAAUACAUCGGAACGUGCCCGAUCGUGGGGGAUAACUACUCGAAAGAGUACCUAAUACCGCAUACGAUCUACGGAUGAAAGCGGGGGAUCUUCGGACCUCGUGCGGACGGCGCCGCCGAUGGCAGAUUAGGGAGUUGGUGGGAUAAAAGCUUACCAAGCCGACGAUCUGUAGCUGGUCUGAGAGGACGACCAGCCACACUGGGACUGAGACACGGCCCAGACUCCUACGGGAGGCAGCAGUGGGGAAUUUUGGACAAUGGGCGAAAGCCUGAUCCAGCAAUGCCGCGUGCAGGAUGAAGGCCUUCGGGUUGUAAACUGCUUUUGUACGGAACGAAAAGACUCCUUCUAAUACAGGGGGUCCAUGACGGUACCGUAAGAGUAAGCACCGGCUAACUACGUGCCAGCCGCCGCCGUAA